GAACGCUGGCGGCAUGCUUUACACAUGCAAGUCGAACGGCAGCGGGGGCUUCGGCCUGCCGGCGAGUGGCGAACGGGUGAGUAAUGCAUCGGAACGUGCCCAUGUCGUGGGGAUAACGUAGCGAAAGCUACGCUAAUACCGCAUACGCCCUGAGGGGGAAAGCGGGGGAUUCUUCGGAACCUCGCGCGAUUGGAGCGGCCGAUGUCGGAUUAGCUAGUAGGUGAGGUAAAGGCUCACCUAGGCGACGAUCCGUAGCGGGUCUGAGAGGAUGAUCCGCCACACUGGGACUGAGACACGGCCCAGACUCCUACGGGAGGCAGCAGUGGGGAAUUUUGGACAAUGGGCGCAAGCCUGAUCCAGCCAUGCCGCGUGAGUGAAGAAGGCCUUCGGGUUGUAAAGCUCUUUCGGCCGGGAAGAAAUCGUGGUCUCUAACAUAGGCCAUGGAUGACGGUACCGGACUAAGAAGCACCGGCUAACUACGUGCCAGCAGCCGCGGUAAUACG
rnacentral:rRNA from 1 species